CCUACGGGGGGCAGCAGUGGGGAAUAUUGGACAAUGGGGGGAACCCUGAUCCAGCCAUGCCGCGUGUGUGAAGAAGGCCCUCGGGUUGUAAAGCACUUUCAGUGAGGAAGAACGCCUGGUGGUUAAUACCCAUCAGGAAAGACAUCACUCACAGAAGAAGCCCCGGCUAACUCCGUGCCAGCAGCCGCGGUAAUACGGAGGGUGCGAGCGUUAAUCGGAAUUACUGGGCGUAAAGCGCGCGUAGGUGGCUUGAUAAGCCGGUUGUGAAAGCCCCGGGCUCAACCUGGGAACGGCAUCCGGAACUGUCAAGCUAGAGUGCAGGAGAGGAAGGUAGAAUUCCCGGUGUAGCGGUGAAAUGCGUAGAGAUCGGGAGGAAUACCAGUGGCGAAGGCGGCCUUCUGGACUGACACUGACACUGAGGUGCGAAAGCGUGGGUAGCAAACAGGAUUAGAUACCCCAGUAGUC
rnacentral:rRNA from 1 species